GACGAACGCUGGAGGCGUGCUUAACACAUGCAAGUCGAACGAUGAAAUGGAGCUUGCUCCAUGGAUUAGUGGCGAACGGGUGAGUAACACGUGAAUAACCUGCCCUUAAUUUUGGAAUAACCCAGGGAAACCUGGGCUAAUACCGGAUAAGUAAACCUGUGGCAUCACAUGGUUUUGGAAAGUUUUUCGAUUAAGGAUGGAUUCGCGGCCUAUCAGCUUGUUGGGGAGGUAAUGGCUCACCAAGGCGACGACGGGCAGCCGGCCUGAGAGGGGGACCGGCCACACUGGGAUUGAGACACGGCCCAGACUACUACGGGAGGCAGCAGUGGGGAAUAUUGCGCAAUGGACGAAAGUCUGACGCAGCGACGCCUCGUGAGGGACGAAGGUCUUCGGAUUGUAAACCUCUUUCAGCAGGGACGAAGCGAAAGUGACGGUACCUGCAGAAGAAGCACCGGCUAACUAUGUGCCAGCAGCCGCCGUAA
rnacentral:rRNA from 1 species